CACGGAAGGGGCGAGCGUUAUUCGUAAGUAUUGGGCGUAAGGCGCACGCAGGCGGUUUGUUAAGUCAGAUGUGAAAUCCCCGGGCUCAACCUGGGAACUGCAUCUGAUACUGGCAAGCUUGAGUCUCGUAGAGGGGGGUAGAAUUCCAGGUGUAGCGGUGAAAUGCGUAGAGAUCUGGAGGAAUACCGGUGGCGAAGGCGGCCCCCUGGACGAAGACUGACGCUCAGGUGCGAAAGCGUGGGGAGCAAACAGG
rnacentral:rRNA from 1 species